CCUACGGGAGGCAGCAGUGGGGAAUAUUGCACAAUGGGGGAAACCCUGAUGCAGCGACGCCGCGUGAGUGAAGAAGUAAUUCGUUAUGUAAAGCUCUAUCAGCAGGGAAGAAAAUGACGGUACCUGAGUAAGAAGCCCCGGCUAACUACGUGCCAGCAGCCGCGGUAAUACGGAGGGGGCAAGCGUUAUCCGGAUUUACUGGGUGGAAAGGGAGCGUAGACGGCAGUGCAAGUCUGGAGUGAAAGGCGGGGGCUCAACCCCCGGACUGCUCUGGAAACUGUACGGCUGGAGUGCAGGAGAGGUAAGUGGAAUUCCUGGUGUAGCGGUGAAAUGCGUAGAUAUUAGGAGGAACACCAGUGGCGAAGGCGGCUUACUGGACUAUAACUGACGUUGAGGCUCGAAAGCGUGGGGAGCAAACAGGAUUAGAUACCCUAGUAGUC
rnacentral:rRNA from 1 species